rnacentral:lncRNA from 1 species
GGUGUGGAGCUGCGGCAGAGGAGGGGAGAGAGGGGCAGGCUGGCCAGGAGGCCAGCUCUGGGGCUGCCCCACUCUCACCCAGGCCGGCUUCCCUAGAUGCCAGCUGUCCCGCAUCUGUCCCGACACUCGUUUUGGCCUCGGGAGGCUGUUUCAUGUGGAAAUCAUUUUCUGUUUAGCUGCUGUCUUCCCAAGCAGACGUAAGUGCCUGAACUGCCCAGGCUCCGUCAUAUGUAACUUUUGGAGUUCAUCGUAGCUGCCACUUUUUCAGCCCCUAAAUAAUGAUGCCCGUUUUGCUCGAUGCCUCGAGUGACGCUCGAGGACUCUGGAAGGGACCUGGCACCGAGAGGGUGCUCAAUAAAUAUUUGUGGAAUGCACGCCUGGGUUCGUUCAGCAGACCUUUCUGAGUGCCUACCCCAGGCCAGGCUCGGUGCUGGGUGCUUGGAACACAGGAAGGACUAGAGACGUCAACUGACAAGAGAUGAACAGGACCCACGAACGCGACCCCGAGACAAGAGCGGCUAAGGACAUUGGUCAUUUAUGGCUAAUGUGAUUGGCUUGGCCCCC